rnacentral:tRNA from 1 species
ACCUAGAUAGCUGAGUUGGUAGAGCAUGAGACUCUUAAUCUCAGGGUCAUGGGUUUGAGUCCCAUGUUGGGUG